GGGGAUGAAGGGCUUCGGUUCGUAAACCCCUGUCAUCUGUGAGUAAGGCUCCCAAUAAAAGCUUGGGAGAUUGAUAUCAGCAGAAGAGGAAGGGACGGCUAACUCAGUGCCAGCAGCCGCGGUAAUACUGAGGUCCCAAGCGUUGUUCGGAUUUACUGGGCGUAAAGGGUGCGUAGGCGGCUAUAAAAGUUUGGUGUGAAAUCUCCGGGCUCAACCCGGAAACUGCAUUGAAAACUAGAUAGCUAGAGGAUCGGAGAGGAGAUUGGAAUUCUCAGUGUAGCAGUGAAAUGCGUAGAUAUUGAGAGGAACACCAGUUGCGAAGGCGGAUCUCUGGACGGUUCCUGACGCUGAGGCACGAAAGCUGGGGUAGCGAAGAGGAUUAGAUACCCUCGUAGUCCCAGCCGUAAACGGUGCGCACUUGCUGUGGGCGGAUUCGACCCCGUCCGUGGCGAAGCUAACGCGAUAAGUGCGCCGCCUGGGGAGUACGGUCGCAAGAUUAAAACUCAAAGAAAUUGACGGGGGCCUGCACAAGCGGUGGAGUAUGUGGCUUAAUUCGAUGCAACGCGAAGAACCUUACCUGGCCUUGACAUGUAGUGGACCGGGUGCGAAAUCACCCUUUCCUUCGGGACUGCUACACAGGUGCUGCAUGGCUGUCGUCAGCUCGUGUCGUGAGAUGUUGGGUUAAGUCCCGCAACGAGCGCAACCCCCGUGUUCUGUUGCCACCCGGAUGAGAAUCCGGAGCACUCUGGACAGACUGCCUGGUUUCAACCAGGAGGAAGGUGGGGAUGACGUCAAGUCAGUAUGGCCCUUACGGCCAGGGCUGCACACGUACUACAAUGCCUGAUAUAAUGGGAAGCGAGACCGCGAGGUGGAGCAAAUCCUCAAAAUCAGGCCCAGUUCAGAUUGUAGGCUGCAACUCGCCUACAUGAAGGAGGAAUCGCUAGUAAUGCCGUAUCAGCUACGACGGCGUGAAUACGUUCCCAGGCCUUGUACACACCGCCCGUCACAUCAUGAAAGUCGAUUGUACCCGAAGUCGCCGCGUUAACCGCAAGGAGACAGGUGCCGAAGGUAUGGUUGGUAAUUGGGAUGAAGUCGUAACAAGGUAGCCGUAGGGGAACCUGUGGCUG
rnacentral:rRNA from 1 species